CUCAAGGUCAAGUGAAGUGAAUAUUACACCAAUAACAAGAACUAGUUCACCUGUUUCGUCUACUAAUUCAACUAUUACCAAUACUAAUAAACCUGCUGAGAUAGAAAAUAACUUCAUGGAAUUGUCUGAAAUUGCGAUUUACGAUGAUACUGGUACUGAAUCCUCCAAAGAUGGUCAGAGUAAAGACUUGUGGAAACAGACUACACUCAUAGAUAUGUUUGAAAGAAGUUCAAGCUAUGAAGCAGGGGGUCAUAAAACUAGCCAAAUAAAUCAAGCUUUGAUC